rnacentral:misc_RNA from 1 species
UGUUAUUGACUGGUUGUGUAUAAAAUUUUGUUUUAACUUUAACUUCAAAAAACUACGUGUAAUUGCACUCAACUGCAUUUUAACAAAAUUAUAUUUAUAGAUAAAAAAUUGUUUGGCAGCUGAGAGCAUUAACCUUAAAAAGUGUUAUGAAGUGGAAGUAUUAAGCGUGCCGUAAAACAUUUCCAAGAAUUUUCGAAAAAUUUGAAAACAAACAAGUACAAUUAAAUGUCGCAAAAUAAUUCAGUUGCUCAUGUCAUGGCGGUAAAUGGAGACGCGUCAAAAAUGCCUAUUGAAAAAGAGUCGCCGUUAAUAUUUUUCGUGAAUGGCAAGAAGGUCGUUGAUCGCACACCAGAUCCAGAAUGUACUCUACUCACAUAUCUGCGCGACAAAUUGCGACUAUGUGGCACAAAAUUGGGAUGCGGGGAAGGUGGUUGUGGCGCUUGUACGGUUAUGCUUUCGCGAGUCGAUCGCGCGACCAACAGCGUCAAGCACUUUGCUGUCAACGCAUGUCUGAUGCCAGUAUGCGCCAUGCAUGGCUGUGCAGUAACAACUAUAGAGGGAAUUGGAAGCACACGCACCCGCCUUCACCCUGUACAGGAGCGUCUAGCUAAAGCUCAUGGCAGUCAAUGUGGUUUUUGUACACCGGGCAUAGUAAUGUCUAUGUACGCACUUCUUCGAAGCAUGCCUCUACCAUCGAUGAAGGAUUUGGAAGUGGCGUUUCAAGGCAAUCUAUGCCGUUGCACAGGUUAUCGACCUAUUUUGGAAGGAUACAAGACUUUCACAAAGGAAUUUGCCUGUGCCAUGGGUGAUAAGUGCUGCAAGUUAAAUGGUAAUAAAAUACAAAAUGGCGACAAUGAAGAGCAAAAACUAUUUGAAAAGAGUGAAUUUUUACCCUUCGAUCCAAGUCAGGAACCCAUAUUCCCACCAGAAUUGCAUUUAAAUUCGCAAUACGAUGCGGAAAAUCUUUUGUUCAAAGGUCCGCGCUCGACAUGGUACCGUCCGGUGGAACUGUUAGACUUACUGAAGCUGAAAGUGGAGCACCCGCAUGGUAAAAUCAUUGUUGGCAACACGGAAGUUGGUGUAGAAAUGAAAUUUAAGCAGUUUCUAUACACCGUACACAUCAACCCCAUAAAGGUACCGGAAUUGAAUGAGAUACGAGAAUUAGAGGAUAGCAUUUUAUUUGGUUCCGCCGUCACCUUAAUGGACAUUGAUGAGCACUUACGCAAACGUAUAGAGAAGUUGCCAGAGCACGAAACACGUUUCUUCCGUUGUGCUGUAAAAAUGUUGCAUUACUUCGCGGGCAAACAGAUACGGAACGUGGCAUCGCUCGGCGGAAACAUCAUGACCGGAAGUCCGAUUUCCGACAUGAACCCUAUUUUGACAGCGGCAUGUGCCAAGCUUAAAGUAUGUAGCUUAGUUGAUGGGAAAGUAGAAACUCGAGAUGUGUACAUGGGUCCGGGAUUCUUUACUGGCUAUCGCAAGAAUACAAUUCUGCCACAUGAAGUAUUGGUGGGCAUAUACUUUCCGAAAAGCUCAAAAGAUCAACACUUUGUGGCAUUUAAGCAAGCGCGCCGUAGAGAUGAUGAUAUUGCAAUUGUCAAUGCAGUUAUAAACGUGACCUUCGAACCAAAUAACAAUAUAAUCAAACAAAUUUAUAUGGCUUUUGGUGGUAUGGCGCCCACAACGAUUAUGGCACCGAAAACAUCCCAAAUCAUGGCAAAACAGAGAUGGAAUCGGGUAUUAGUUGAGCGUGUAACUGAAAGCUUAUGUGCCGAAUUGCCAUUGGCCCCGUCAGCACCGGGUGGUAUGAUCGCCUAUCGUCGUUCACUAGUAGUUAGUUUAUUCUUCAAGGCAUAUUUAGCCAUAAGUCAAGAAUUAAUUAAAUCCGGUAUCAUUGAGGAUGAUGCAAUACCAGAGAGAGAGCUAAGCGGCGCUGAUACCUUCCACACACCGAUUUUGAAGAGCUCCCAGCUCUUUGAGAGGGUGUGUGCCGAACAGCCAACAUGUGAUCCCAUCGGUAGACCAAAGGUACACGCCUCUGCGCUGAAACAGGCAACAGGUGAAGCAAUUUACUGUGAUGACAUUCCGCGUCAUGAAAAUGAAUUGUAUCUCGCACUUGUACUUAGUACCAAAGCUCACGCAAAGAUCAUAUCUAUUGAUGCCAGCGUCGCGCUGAAGCAGCAGGGUGUACACGCAUUUUAUUCCAGCAAAGAUUUGAGCGACUACGAAAAUAAAGUUGGUACCGUGUUUCACGAUGAGGAAGUCUUCGCUUCGGAAGUAGUAUAUUGCCAGGGGCAGGUGAUCGGUGCUAUUGUCGCGGACAGUCAAGUUUUGGCGCAACGUGCGGCGCGUCUCGUGCAUAUCAAGUACGAGGAGCUAACCCCCGUAAUUGUAACAAUUGAACAGGCCAUCGCACAUAAAUCAUAUUUUCCCAAUUAUCCACAAUAUAUUGAAAAGGGUGACGUGCAAAAGGCUUUCGAGCAGGCUGACCACGUUUAUGAAGGUAGUUGUCGGAUGGGUGGUCAAGAACAUUUCUAUUUGGAGACGCACGCUUGUGUAGCAACGCCGCGAGAUAGUGAUGAAAUUGAACUAUUUUGUUCAACCCAAAAUCCCACGGAGAUACAAAAAUUAGUGGCUCAUGUGUUAUCUGUGCCGUGGCACAGGGUGGUAUGCCGAUCUAAACGCUUGGGUGGUGGAUUUGGUGGCAAAGAGUCGCGUUCAAUUAUCUUGGCACUUCCAGUUGCAUUGGCCAGUUAUCGUCUAAGAAGACCGGUGCGCUGUAUGCUCGAUCGGGAUGAAGAUAUGAUGACAACGGGCACUAGACAUCCUUUUCUCUUUAAAUAUAAAAUUGGCUUUACCAAAGAAGGUUUGAUAACGGCAUGUGACAUUGAGUGCUAUACUAAUGCCGGCUGUACAAUGGAUCUCUCAUUUUCCGUUCUUGAUCGUGCUAUGAAUCAUUUCGAGAAUUGUUAUCGCAUACCAAAUGUCAAAGUAGGUGGUUGGGUCUGCAAAACGAAUUUACCAUCCAAUACAGCGUUUAGAGGAUUUGGCGGCCCUCAGGGCAUGUUUGCAGCGGAGCAUAUAGUACGCGAUGUGGCGCGCAUAGUUGGCAAAGAUUACUUGGAUGUCAUGCAGUUGAAUUUUUAUAAAACUGGCGAUUAUACACACUACAAUCAAAAGUUGGAAAACUUUCCCAUUGAAAAAUGUUUCAGAGAUUGCUUAGAUCAGUCGAAAUUCUACGAGAAACGUGCAGAAAUAGCAGAAUUUAACAAAAGCCAUCGGUGGCGAAAGCGCGGUAUCUCUCUGGUGCCUACCAAAUAUGGUAUUGCUUUUGGUGCUAUGCAUCUGAAUCAAGCCGGUGCGCUAGUAAAUAUAUAUGGUGAUGGGUCGGUAUUGCUUUCGCAUGGCGGCGUCGAGAUCGGACAGGGUCUACACACGAAAAUGAUACAAUGCUGCGCGCGAGCAUUAGGCAUACCACCGGAGCUAAUUCAUAUUGCCGAAACGGCAACCGACAAGGUACCAAACACAUCACCAACGGCAGCUAGUGUAGGUUCAGAUUUAAAUGGUAUGGCUGUAUUGAAUGCCUGUGAGAAGCUAAAUGAACGUCUGAAACCAAUUAAAGAGGCCAAUCCGAAAGAUACGUGGCAAGAAUGGAUCAGUAAAGCAUAUUUUGCGCGAAUAGGUCUCUCAGCAAGUGGAUUCUAUAAAAUGCUUGAUGUUGGUGACGAUCCAAAGACAAAUCCAAAUGCGCGUUGUUAUAAUUAUUAUACCAAUGGUGUUGGAGUAUCAGUGGUUGAAAUUGAUUGCUUAACCGGUGAUCAUCAAGUGUUGAGCACAGACAUCGUCAUGGAUAUUGGCUCUAGUUUGAAUCCAGCUAUCGAUAUUGGGCAGAUCGAAGGCGCAUUUAUGCAAGGUUAUGGCUUAUUUGUAUUGGAAGAGCUUAUUUAUUCACCGCAAGGUGCGCUUUAUUCGCGCGGACCUGGUAUGUAUAAACUACCAGGAUUUGCUGAUAUACCGGGCGAGUUCAAUGUGAGCCUUUUAACUGGUGCGCCUAAUCCUAGAGCUGUUUAUUCGUCAAAGGCCGUUGGGGAGCCACCGUUAUUCAUAGGCAGCACUGCAUUUUUCGCGAUUAAGGAAGCAAUAGCAGCUGCACGCGCUGAAAGACGGUUAAACGGACACUUCGUACUGCACGCCCCAGCGACGGCUGCUCGUAUACGAAUGGCAUGUCAAGACGAAUUUACCGAACUGAUUGAUCAACCGUCCCCUGAUACUUACACACCUUGGAAUGUUGUGCCCUAAACUUGAAAUAACUUACUAUUGUUUUAGAUUAGAAUAUUAACACCAGUUGAAGUCAGAUUUUAAAAUUAUAAUCAAAUAUGUUAACAUUUGCAAGCAUUGGAUGGACUAUAGGUAGAUAUUUAUACUGGAGAUGUAAUAAAACAGUAUAAUUUGGUGCUAUCUUAUAAUAUACAAAUUUGUUUAAGGAUUAACUAAUAUUGUGACAACAAUACAAUUAUAGCUGACGACAAAUAAGAGAAAAUAGCUUGUAAACGUUAUACUCGUAUAGAUUUGUAUGUGUAAAUAAAUAUACAAACAAGAAAAAA